GCAAGAACCAGUUUUGAAGCGCUUAAAGAAGAUAACUCCAGUUUCGCUUCAGUCAUCAAUCAUGUGUGAUUCUGUGUCUCUUCAUGUCCCCAUGGCAUGGUCCCCAAGUGACUUAAGAUACAUUUGGAUGCCAUCUGCUCAACAAGAAGACUGACUGACAAAUUUCAACCACACAGACAGCAACAUCAGGGGACCUCUCUCUCUCCCAACCCUGGUGGCUUUUGAUUUUACAGAAAGCAAAAGCAUCUGAUAAACAAAGCCCUGAGGGUGCGCCAAAUGUGAAUUUAAACCAGUGUCACUAAGAACAGGCUACAAUCCAACUGCAGAACAUGCUAAAUCUUGGUCACCAGAAAACCACUACCCACCUGACAGAUGUGUAAAGAAGCUCU